rnacentral:snRNA from 1 species
UCGCUUCAGCAGCACAUACACUAAAAUUAGAACAAUACAGAGAUUAGCAUGGCCCCUGUGCAAGGAUGACGUGCAAAUUCGUGAAGAGUUUCAUAUUCUA